CAAGUCGCACGAGAAAGGGGGCAACCCCGAGUAAAGUGGCGCACGGGUGCGUAACACGUAGGCAAUCUUCCCUCUGGAGGGGGAUAACCCUCCGAAAGGAGAGCUAAUACCGCGUAAGACCACAGCCGCUUCGGCGGCAGAGGUCAAAGCUGGCCUCUACUUGUAAGCCAGCACCAGAGGACGAGCCUGCGGCCCAUCAGCUAGUUGGUAAGGUAACGGCUUACCAAGGCUAAGACGGGUAGCUGGUCUGAGAGGAUGAUCAGCCACACUGGCACUGAAACACGGGCCAGACUCCUACGGGAGGCAGCAGUGGGGAAUAUUGGACAAUGGGCGAAAGCCUGAUCCAGCGACGCCGCGUGGGUGAUGAAGGCCUUCGGGUUGUAAAGCCCUGUGGGCAGGGAAGAAAACGUUGCAGGCGAAUAGGCUGCGACCUUGACGGUACCUGCUCAGAAAGCACCGGCUAACUCUGUGCCAGCAGCCGCGGUAAGACAGAGGGUGCAAACGUUGCUCGGAAUUACUGGGCGUAAAGCGCGUGUAGGCGGAUUGGUGUGUCGGAUGUGAAAUCCCCAGGCUCAACCUGGGAACUGCAUUCGAAACUGCCAGUCUUGAGUAGUGGAGAGGGAAGUGGAAUUCCUGGUGUAGAGGUGAAAUUCGUAGAUAUCAGGAGGAACACCAGUGGCGAAGGCGGCUUCCUGGACACUAACUGACGCUGAGACGCGAAAGCGUGGGGAGCAAACAGGAUUAGAUACCCUGGUAGUCCACGCUGUAAACGAUGGGCACUAGGUGUCGCGGGUUUUUGACCCCCGCGGUGCCGUAGCCAACGCGUUAAGUGCCCCGCCUGGGGGAGUACGGCCGCAAGGCUAAAACUCGGAGGAAUUGACGGGGG
rnacentral:rRNA from 1 species